rfam:Stegodyphus mimosarum contig37572, whole genome shotgun sequence.
GCCUUCGUGGUGUAGCGGUCAGCACGCUCGAUGCGUAACAGAGAGGUCCGUGAUUCGAAUCCUGGCGAAGGCG